rnacentral:tRNA from 1 species
GCGCCGAUCGGAUAGCGGCUAUUCCAGCAGACUGUAAAUCUGCGGCUCAAUGAGCAUCGUUGGUUCGAGUCCAACUCGGCGCACAA